GGGAGUUGUGGAGAAGGAGGGGGACGGGGGCGGUGAGAAGGAGGGGACGCCGCCUCGGGCCUGCUCUCCAGCUGCGGAGUGGAGCAGAAGGUGGUGAAGCCAGGGGUACUCCCCAAGACCUGUAUACCAGCCUCCAUUCCAGAGUCUGCCUCCUGGGGCCCCAUCCUGUGGGACUGAGUGUGCAUAUCUAUAAAACAGACCAUGAGCACAGCAGCAAAUGAAAAAUAGAUGGAUUGGGCUUCAAAAGUUCAUGUUUCCUCUGACGAGACCGCCUUCCUCAGACUGAUGCCAUCCUAGUGGACCCCUUCUUGGAAAACUUUCCCUCGGCAUCCUCAUGUGUGCCUCUGUUCCGAACUCUGGAAACAUUUCAUGUGACAGCCCCCAUCCUGGGAACUUUGUGGAUCUGCAUACCUCACAGGGCAGCGAGCGAGUCUGCUUACCUGCUUUCCUAGUACAAGUUCUGGGUGUUGAACCCAAGGCCUUGUAUGUACUCUGCCACUGAGCUAUAUCAUCAUUCCAAUGCAGUUUGCAAAGCUUGGGGGGAAGAAAAAAAUACCACCUGAUACAAUAUUCAGUGGAAGGCCAGCAGUGCUACAAGUUAUGAAAACAAUGAAUGGAUCACUAACAUUCUUCAAGGAUGGUGUCAAGAAACAUGAAGAGCAAUAGUUUAUGGAUUCUUGGAGAAGAAAUAAGAAAAUAGGAAGAAAUACAGACAAAGGACAAUUUAUAACUUAUAGCAAUAGUAGGUAAACCAACCAGACUGGCCUGAGGUUACCAUUGAAAGAAAAAUAAAAGCAUCAUGCUUUUAUCAAAUGGUUUGGGCAAAGUCCUGAAUUUUCAAAAUUGGUCUCUCUACCCUCUUCAUCCUAAUUAUUACCCAGGAGGCAACUGAGAAGGAGUUGCAUUCAGUGAUAGAAUUAUCUAACUAAGGUGUGUGGGAUCAGGAGGAGAUUGAGGGAGGUAGAAUUGGAAAUCCCAUUGAGGAGGCUAUUCCAGUGUCCCACAGCACCAGAUGCCCAUGGAUGACAGGGAGCACAGAGGGUUCAUCAAAUACCUUGACUAUGAACCCACUGUUGAGUGGCUUUUGUGGUAAAAGGCAUACUAUUUCCAGACUGUUAAAGGUCCAGAUAGCCAAAAACAUGGCAUGGAUUAGUGUCAAGGGCUAAUCAAACUGUAACGGAAACACUAAAACCUAAAAAAGUGUCAACAGUAGUUAGCCCCUGGAUAUCCCUGAGAAGGAAUCAAAAGUCAAUUUUAGAUGAUCUGCCAUAGUGGGUGGGGUCAAUGCCUCACAUAAUGGGUUCUCCUUCAGUGCACAAACAGGUCUUUUGGCCUUGGUUCUGUAGUGGCACCACCACCCGCAAAAUCUUAAUUAAGCUGCUUCAGAAAUCUUCACCAUAAUUGAUCUUAGGACUAUCAGCAAAAGGCUCUGUGCAAGAGUUCAAUGUAAUUAAGCUUCCUAAUUCCUGUUGCUCUAUCCUACUUGGCCAUGGGAUGAAGGAAAUCAGCACUCCAGGUGCUGAACACUCCUUUACUAGUUUUUCAUAACAUUUAUGGGCUAUCUAGUGUUGUAGAUUCUCUAAUCUAAAACAAUAUAUGUAUAAUAGUUUGCAAAAGUUUUCAAGCUGGAAGUGUGUUUGCAAAUGCAGAGUGUGAUAAGGAAGACAGAUUCUUUUAACAAGGUCUCUGGACUUGAGCCAGCGAGCUUCCCAGGGAUAUUUACAUUUCAAAGAUAGGAGAUGAUGUUACUAAUUGGGUUCCAAGGAAACUGCUGGCAGAGGGGAAAAGAAGCUCUCCCUUCUCAAGCGCUGUCCUUGAAGUGUUAACUUGCCCAAAACAGUGAAAGAAAAAGCUGUUUUUGUGUGAACUUCUGCAGAUUAUGAACUUCUGAGCUCCUCCCCUUACACACUGGGUAUAAAGUUUUGAAACAUCCUGAACUUGGGCUUUCGGGGGAAUUGAUUGAUAUAGCGAAAGCUUUUCCCUCUGUACCUAGUUGCAGCCAAAUAAAUCUGCUUCCUAGUA